UACUCCUGGUUUCUUUUCAGAUUGAAUAAGUCUUUUGCCUUUUACUAAAGAUUUCCGUGGAGAGGAACAUCCAUGAGUUUUUAACAAUUUUUUGAGGCUCUAUUUGCAGAGCCU